rnacentral:rRNA from 1 species
GUCCAGACUCCUACGGGAGGCAGCAGUGGGGAAUAUUGCACAAUGGGGGGAACCCUGAUGCAGCGACGCCGCGUGGGUGAAGGAGCGUUUCGGCGCGUAAAGCCCUAUCGGCAGGGAAGAAGGAGGACGGUACCUGACUAAGAAGCCCCGGCUAACUACGUGCCAGCAACCGCGGGAAUACGUAGGGGGCAAACGUUAUCCGGAUUUACUGGGUGUAAAGGGGGCGCAGACGGCAGCGCAAGCCAGGAGUGAAAGCCCGGGGCCCAACCCCGGGACUGCUCUUGGAACUGCGCGGCUGGAGUGCAGGAGGGGCAGGCGGAAUUCCUGGUGUAGCGGUGAAAUGCGUAGAUAUCAGGAGGAACACCGGUGGCGAAGGCGGCCUGCUGGACUGCGACUGACGUUGAGGCCCGAAAGCGUGGGGAGCAAACAGGAUUAGAUACCCCUGUA